rnacentral:rRNA from 1 species
AUGCACGCUGGCGGCGUGCCUAAUCCAUGCAAGUCGAGCGAACAGAUGAGGAGCUUGCUCCUCUGACGUUAGCGGCGGACGGGUGAGUAACACGUGGAUAACCUACCUAUAAGACUGGGAUAACUUCGGGAAACCGGAGCUAAUACCGGAUAAUAUAUUGAACCGCAUGGUUCAAUAGUGAAAGACGGUUUUGCUGUCACUUAUAGAUGGAUCCGCGCCGCAUUAGCUAGUUGGUAAGGUAACGGCUUACCAAGGCAACGAUGCGUAGCCGACCUGAGAGGGUGAUCGGCCACACUGGAACUGAGACACGGUCCAGACUCCUACGGGAGGCAGCAGUAGGGAAUCUUCCGCAAUGGGCGAAAGCCUGACGGAGCAACGCCGCGUGAGUGAUGAAGGUCUUCGGACCGUAAAACUCUGUUAUUAGGGAAGAACAAAUGUGUAAGUAACUAUGCACGUCUUGACGGUACCUAAUCAGAAAGCCACGGCUAACUACGUG